rnacentral:rRNA from 1 species
CAGGAUGAACGCCGGCGGUGUGCCUAAUACAUGCAAGUCGUACGCACUGGCCCAACUGAUUGAUGGUGCUUGCACCUGAUUGACGAUGGAUUACCAGUGAGUGGCGGACGGGUGAGUAACACGUAGGUAACCUGCCCCGGAGCGGGGGAUAACAUUUGGAAACAGAUGCUAAUACCGCAUAACAACAAAAACCACAUGGCUUUUGUUUGAAAGAUGGCUUUGGCUAUCACUCUGGGAUGGACCUGCGGUGCAUUAGCUAGUUGGUAAGGUAACGGCUUACCAAGGCGAUGAUGCAUAGCCGAGUUGAGAGACUGAUCGGCCACAAUGGAACUGAGACACGGUCCAUACUCCUACGGGAGGCAGCAGUAGGGAAUCUUCCACAAUGGGCGCAAGCCUGAUGGAGCAACACCGCGUGAGUGAAGAAGGGUUUCGGCUCGUAAAGCUCUGUUGUUGGAGAAGAACGUGCGUGAGAGUAACUGUUCACGCAGUGACGGUAUCCAACCAGAAAGUCACGGCUAACUACGUGCCAGCAGCCGCGGUAAUACGUAGGUGGCAAGCGUUAUCCGGAUUUAUUGGGCGUAAAGCGAGCGCAGGCGGUUGCUUAGGUCUGAUGUGAAAGCCUUCGGCUUAACCGAAGAAGUGCAUCGGAAACCGGGCGACUUGAGUGCAGAAGAGGACAGUGGAACUCCAUGUGUAGCGGUGGAAUGCGUAGAUAUAUGGAAGAACACCAGUGGCGAAGGCGGCUGUCUGGUCUGCAACUGACGCUGAGGCUCGAAAGCAUGGGUAGCGAACAGGAUUAGAUACCCUGGUAGUCCAUGCCGUAAACAAUGAGUGCUAGGUGUUGGAGGGUUUCCGCCCUUCAGUGCCGGAGCUAACGCAUUAAGCACUCCGCCUGGGGAGUACGACCGCAAGGUUGAAACUCAAAGGAAUUGACGGGGGCCCGCACAAGCGGUGGAGCAUGUGGUUUAAUUCGAAGCUACGCGAAGAACCUUACCAGGUCUUGACAUCUUGCGCUAGCCUUAGAGAUAAGGCGUUCCCUUCGGGGACGCAAUGACAGGUGGUGCAUGGUCGUCGUCAGCUCGUGUCGUGAGAUGUUGGGUUAAGUCCCGCAACGAGCGCAACCCUUGUUACUAGUUGCCAGCAUUAAGUUGGGCACUCUAGUGAGACUGCCGGUGACAAACCGGAGGAAGGUGGGGACGACGUCAGAUCAUCAUGCCCCUUAUGACCUGGGCUACACACGUGCUACAAUGGACGGUACAACGAGUCGCAAACUCGCGAGAGUAAGCUAAUCUCUUAAAGCCGUUCUCAGUUCGGACUGUAGGCUGCAACUCGCCUACACGAAGUCGGAAUCGCUAGUAAUCGCGGAUCAGCAUGCCGCGGUGAAUACGAUCGCGGCCCUUGUACUCACCGCCCGUCA